rnacentral:rRNA from 1 species
UAGGGAAUCUUCCACAAUGGACGCAAGUCUGAUGGAGCAACGCCGCGUGAGUGAAGAAGGUUUUCGGACCGUAAAGCUCUGUUGUUGGUGAAGAAGGAUAGAGGUAGUAACUGGCCUUUAUUUGACGGUAAUCAACCAGAAAGUCACGGCUAACUACGUGCCAGCAGCCGCGGUAAUACGUAGGUGGCAAGCGUUGUCCGGAUUUAUUGGGCGUAAAGCGAGCGCAGGCGGAAGAAUAAGUCUGAUGUGAAAGCCCUCGGCUUAACCGAGGAAUUGCAUCGGAAACUGUUUUUCUGAGUGCAGAAGAGGAGAGUAGAACUCCAUGUGUAGCGGUGGAAUGCGUAGAUAUAUGGAAGAAUACCAGUGGCGAAGGCGGCUCUCUGGUCUGCAACUGACGCUGAGGCUCGAAAGCAUGGUAGCGAACAGGAUUAGAUACCCUUGGUAG